rnacentral:rRNA from 1 species
GUACACUCCUACGGGAGGCAGCAGUGGGGAAUUUUGGACAAUGGGCGAAAGCCUGAUCCAGCAAUGCCGCGUGAGUGAAGAAGGCCUUCGGGUUGUAAAGCUCUUUUGUCAGGGAAGAAACGGUGAGAGCUAAUAUCUCUUGCUAAUGACGGUACCUGAAGAAUAAGCACCGGCUAACUACGUGCCAGCAGCCGCGGUAAUACGUAGGGUGCAAGCGUUAAUCGGAAUUACUGGGCGUAAAGCGUGCGCAGGCGGUUUUGUAAGUCUGAUGUGAAAUCCCCGGGCUCAACCUGGGAAUUGCAUUGGAGACUGCAAGGCUAGAAUCUGGCAGAGGGGGGUAGAAUUCCACGUGUAGCAGUGAAAUGCGUAGAUAUGUGGAGGAACACCGAUGGCGAAGGCAGCCCCCUGGGUCAAGAUUGACGCUCAUGCACGAAAGCGUGGGGAGCAAACAGGAUUAGAUACCCGAGUAGUCCCAUGAU